GUUGCAUAUUCGUUUUAGUCCGUUUUCAUCUUGUGUGACUUUCACUAGUGUGUGAGGCGUCUUUGCUCCUUCGUUUCAUUUUCAUCAGUGUGUGUUGCCUCAAGCGGUAGGACUCCUUCGUUUCAGGGCUGCCGUGUAGGUAUCACGUUCCCUUUUCCUCCUUCUCUUCUUUGUUUAAUUUCUUCUUUUUCCUAUUUUCAUGAAAAUGCAUUUUCCAUCAAGGGUUGAUUGCGUCACUACCUCUGAAGCACUUGCUUUAGAGCUCUGUUGGUGACCUAAGUGUAGGAUCUCUACUCAUGCACUAGGUUUAGCAACCCACUCUCACUCGCUUCGUUGCUAGGGCAAACCCAAAGAGGAUAGCUAGGGUUUCAAAAUCAUUAAUUUGUUCAAAGUUCAAUUGAUUUGUUUAUUCCCAAAAUCCCUAAAUCUUAAAACCCUAAAUUCCUCUAUUCUUUCUUUCUUGUGAUUGAAAUACCCUGAUUCUUAGCACAGAAUGUUGCAUCGUAAGGAGAUUGAGAUUGAAGCAAAGGCACUGCGUUUUGAGAAGAUUAAGGCAUAUGAAAUUGUAGAACUCUUAAUCAACUGAAUAUGGAAGGUUAAAAGUUUCCACGGGUGAAAUUGCUACACUACCUCAAGGUUUUCGUUUUUCUCUGCUGCAGUUCAAGAUUUUUCUCCCUUCAAUGUCUUUGCUUCACAUGUUUCUUUUUGUCAUGUUAAUACAGGGUUUCAUCAAAAAUAAUGAAAGGGCGUUAUAGGAGCUAUUUGCGGAUGAAGAGGAUAAUUAUAGAGGUGUUGCAUGUUUGAAUGUGACAGCAAAACAAAUUGCUAUUUGCUUCUUUAAGAGGAUAAUUAUAGCGAGAUUUGUUGAUUUUCUCUAGAAAAAGUAACAGGACAAAAGGCUUUAAGGAUUAUAUUUUAUAGGAAUGGUUUAAGUGAAGGAAAAUUUUACCAAGUUCUACUAUACGAUUUGGAUGUAAUUCGAAAGUGAUGAAGCAGUUUGAGAUUGCAGAACUGGUGGAGAAUUUGAGGGCAUCAAAUAGUCAAGUAAACUUUUUUUUGUGAUCAAGACAACCCAAUGAUAAUGAUUAUGGAUAUUAUGUGUGUCGAUAUAUGAAAGACAUUAUCACAUGUGAAGGAGGAACAAUUUCAACUAAGAUAAGUUAUCUUCAUUGUCAUAAUUAAUUUGCAGAAAAAAUUUAGUUGACUAAUUUUAUAUUAUUUUUUUUGUUGCAGUAUUUUCCUAAUUGCAGAUAUCAACAAUAUCAUGACAAUCAAAUUAUUGAAGUUAGGGAAGAUUGACGUUUACAUAUAAUUAGUACAUGUUUAUAGGUUAUGUUAUGGUGAUAUACAUGCUUAUAGGAUAUAAAUAGUAUAUAUAUGUUAUGGUUGUAUAUACGUCUUAUAGAACAAUGUCAUGUCAUGACACAUACUUGAUGAUUCAACGAUAAUAUUUUGAAA